GACGAACGCUGGCGGCGUGCUUAACACAUGCAAGUCGAACGGAAAGGCCCUGCUUUUGUGGGGUGCUCGAGUGGCGAACGGGUGAGUAACACGUGAGUAACCUGCCCUUGACUUUGGGAUAACUUCAGGAAACUGGGGCUAAUACCGGAUAGGAGCUCCUGCUGCAUGGUGGGGGUUGGAAAGUUUCGGCGGUUGGGGAUGGACUCGCGGCUUAUCAGCUUGUUGGUGGGGUAGUGGCUUACCAAGGCUUUGACGGGUAGCCGGCCUGAGAGGGUGACCGGCCACAUUGGGACUGGGGUGCGGCCAGGCCUCCUACGGGGGGAAGGGGGGGGGAAUUGUGCACAAGGGGCGGAGGCCGGAAGCAACAACCCCGGGGGGGGAAAGGCGGCCUUGGGGUUGUAACCCGCUUUCGCCGGUGACGAAGCGUGGGGAAGGGAAAUGGGUAAAAAAGCACCGGCAAACAAGGG
rnacentral:rRNA from 1 species